AUUGAACGCUGGCGGCAUGCUUUACACAUGCAAGUCGAGCGGCAGCGCGGGGGCAACCCUGGCGGCGAGCGGCGAACGGGUGAGUAAUGCAUCGGAACGUAUCCUCGAGUGGGGGAUAACCCAUCGAAAGUUGGGCUAAUACCGCAUGAGCUCUGAGGAGGAAAGCGGGGGACCUGCGAGGGCCUCGCGCUGGGGGAGCGGCCGGUGUCCGAUUAGCUAGUUGGUGGGGUAAAGGAUUACCAAGGCGACGCUCGGUAGCUGGUCGGAGAGGAUGAUCAGCCACACUGGGAGUGAGGCACGGCCCAGACUCCUACGGGGGGCAGCAGUAGGGAAGUUUGGAGAAAGGGGGGAACACUGAUCCAGCCAUGCCGCGUGAUUGAAGAAGGACUUCGGGUUGUAGAGCUCCUCCGGACGGAACGAAAUGGGCGGGACUAAUACCCCUGUCUGAUGACGGUACCGGAAGAAGAAGCACCGGCUAACUACGUG
rnacentral:rRNA from 1 species